rnacentral:rRNA from 1 species
GGCAAUUUUUUUUUUUUGUUGUUGUCGUCUACUAAAGCAUCUAUACUGUGAAACUGCGAAUGGCUCAUUAAAUCAGUUAUCGUUUAUUUGAUAGUACCUUACUACUUGGAUAACCGUGGUAAUUCUAGAGCUAAUACAUGCUAAAAACCCCGACUUCGGAAGGGGUGUAUUUAUUAGAUAAAAAACCAAUGCCCUUCGGGGCUCCUUGGUGAAUCAUGAUAACUUAACGAAUCGCAUGGCCUUGCGCCGGCGAUGGUUCAUUCAAAUUUCUGCCCUAUCAACUUUCGAUUGUAGGAUAGUGGCCUACAAUGGUUUCAACGGGUAACGGGGAAUUAGGGUUCUAUUCCGGAGAGGGAGCCUGAGAAACGGCUACCACAUCCAAGGAAGGCAGCAGGCGCGCAAAUUACCCAAUCCCGAUACGGGGAGGUAGUGACAAUAAAUACUGAUACAGGGCUCUUUUGGGUCUUGUAAUUGGAAUGAGUACAAUUUAAAUACCUUAACGAGGAACAAUUGGAGGGCAAGUCUGGUGCCAGCAGCCGCGGUAAUUCCAGCUCCAAUAGCGUAUAUUAAAGUUGUUGCAGUUAAAAAGCUCGUAGUUGAACCUUGGGCCUGGCUGGCCGGUCUGCCUCACCGCAUGUACUGGUUCGGCCGGGUCUUUCCUCCUGGGGAUCCGCAUGCCCUUCACUGGGUGUGUUGGGGAACCAGGACUUUUACUUUGAAAAAAUUAGAGUGUUCAAAGCAGGCCUUUGCUCGAAUACAUUAGCAUGGAAUAAUAGAAUAGGACGUGCGGUCCUAUUUUGUUGGUUUCUAGGACCGCCGUAAUGAUUAAUAGGGAUAGUCGGGGGCAUCAGUAUUCAGUUGUCAGAGGUGAAAUUCUUGGAUUUACUGAAGACUAACUACUGCGAAAGCAUUUGCCAAGGAUGUUUUCAUUAAUCAGUGAACGAAAGUUAGGGGAUCGAAGACGAUCAGAUACCGUCGUAGUCUUAACCGUAAACUAUGCCGACUAGGGAUCGGGCGAUGUUAUUCUUUUGACUCCCUCGGCACCUUACCAGAAAUCAAAAUCUUUGGGUUCUGGGGGGAAUAUGGUCGCAAGCUGAACUAAGAUAUAGGA